rnacentral:sRNA from 10 species
ACUCAACGCAAAUCUUUUAUAAAAGGUGAGUCAAUAUUGUUAAAGCGUGCCUUUACGGAUACUUGAUCAGUAUGUUAGCCUUAAUCUUGUAUUAAUAGGGGUUU